rnacentral:rRNA from 1 species
AAAUUGAAGAGUUUGAUCAUGGCUCAGAUUGAACGCUGGCGGCAGGCCUAACACAUGCAAGUCGAACGGUAACAGGAAACAGCUUGCUGUUUCGCUGACGAGUGGCGGACGGGUGAGUAAUGUCUGGGAAACUGCCUGAUGGAGGGGGAUAACUACUGGAAACGGUAGCUAAUACCGCAUAACGUCGCAAGACCAAAGAGGGGGACCUUCGGGCCUCUUGCCAUCGGAUGUGCCCAGAUGGGAUUAGCUUGUUGGUGGGGUAACGGCUCACCAAGGCGACGAUCCCUAGCUGGUCUGAGAGGAUGACCAGCCACACUGGAACUGAGACACGGUCCAGACUCCUACGGGAGGCAGCAGUGGGGAAUAUUGCACAAUGGGCGCAAGCCUGAUGCAGCCAUGCCGCGUGUAUGA